rnacentral:rRNA from 1 species
GCAAGGAAGUAAGAUCCCUGAAAGAUGAUCAGGUUGAUAGGUCUGAGGUGGAAGCGUGGUGACACGUGGAGCUGACAGAUACUAAUAGAUCGAGGACUUAACCUAUAUU